rnacentral:misc_RNA from 1 species
GAUGAAGAACGCAGCGAAAUGCGAUACGUAAUGUGAAUUGCAGAAUUCAGUGAAUCAUCGAAUCUUUGAACGCAUAUUGCGCUCUUUGGUAUUCCGAAGAGCAUGCUUGUUUGAGUAUCAGUAAACACCUCAACCUCUUCUUGAUUUUUCAAAAGGAGGGUGGACUUGAGCUAUACCAACAACCUUUACCGGUCGGCGGGCGGUUUGAAAUGCAGGUGCAGCUGGACUUUUAUCUGAGCUAAAAGCAUAUCUAUUUAGUCCUCGUCAAACAGGAUUAUUACUUUUGCUGCAGCUAACAUAAAGGAUAAUUGUCCUCUUUGCUGACUGAUGCAGGAUUUUACGACACUUUAUGUGUUGUUCAACUCGAUCUCAAAUCAAGUAAGACUACCCGCUGAACUUAAGCAUAUCAAUAAGCGGAGGA